UCAUUUUGUCAUAUACUAAAAAGGAGGUUUGCGAAUUAUCACUCAAAUUUAAAGUACUUGAUAUAAUUAUCACCAGCAGAAAUGGCAUACUCUAAACAUAUUUUAAACCAAACUUUCCUGUACAAAACUGGCCUGAAAGAAAUAUUUAAUAAGGAGUUUAGAAGGAAGAUUCUGGAAACAAUCACCUUCUUUUCUUGACACAGUCUUCCCCUAACCCCACAUAAGAACCACUCUGGCCUCUCCCCACAAAAACAUCCAAAAGCCUGUCUUAGAACAGGGCUUGACUUCAUAAACAUUAUGGAUAUUGAGUGCCUACCACGAUGUUCAUCAUACUCAAUGAAGGGAAAGUGAGUAAUGUUCAAAAACAUGAAGUGUAGUUUGAUGUUCCUGCAGCAUGUUUUUGUCAACAAUUCAAUAUAUUGUAUAGCGUGUGAUUUUUAAAGAAACACUCCAAAGAAUUUGAGAGAACCGGAAACAGAUGGGUGUUCAUUUCAAUAUGGCAGGGGAACAUUUCCAAUGCAAAAGGACUGCUUCUUUCUACCUCCUCCUGUGUAAACUCUGGCUUGCUGCACCUUAAUUAUUUAACAGCCUCUGCCUGGCAUAAAACCAAAAGAGACUGGCUCAUUAAUACUCCUGGAAAGAAUGUGUGCCUUUAAGAAACGCAUGAAUAUUUCAUUGUCUCUGUCAGUGCUCAGAAGAUGGCACAAUUAUCUAGGAAACCGAAUGGUAAUUUCUAUAUUAGCUUCCCUAAGCUCCUUGUGUGCAUACCCCCAACAAUCAUCUCUGUGAACUCACCUUUGACAGGUGACAUAAAUGCAAAUCAGAAUCUGAAGUAGGACAAUCAUUGAAAGGAAGAAACCUAAAGAAAGAUACUUGCAUUAAACUGGGUAUGCCAGCUCAAUAAAAGCUCAAGAGAGAUGUAUAAAAUUUAUCUUACCAUAAUUUCAUACUGCAUUUGACAACAGUUACAAAAAUCAGAGAGGUAAGUCUGGCCAUGGAUGAUGGCUUACUAGAGGACUGAAAAGAUUUUUAUUUUUUCUCAUUUUUAUUUUCUUUUUAAAGAUGAUACUGGAAAUCAAGAUAACUCUGUGGAGUUGGAGUGCUUACUGCAAUGUUUUCCCACCCUCUCUUUUCACACUCUUCUCUCUACUCUCAAGAGCCAUAUGAUUGGGGCCAUAAGGAAGAGCUGCUUUACUCAAAUAUACCCAAGCAGUGAGCCAAUUUUGAAAAUAGAAACUGGAAGAAAAAAAAAAAAAGAAAGCAAAGUGUGCCAUAUUUCAAAGUAUCCCAGGCCUACAAUGGUUAAUGAAUUAUAAUAUAGACCAUAGGACAUAAUAAUGAUAAAUCUUGCAUUGGUAAAGUAUGUUAAAUUUUCUAAGUAUUUACUCCACUGACAAUGUAUAUUUCUUAUAUUAAAAUUCCUGAAAGAGCCCAGGUAUCAUUUUCCCAUUUUGUAAGUGAGAAAGACAACAUAUGGAGACGUUAAAUGAUUUGCCUUAAACAAUACAUAGCUAUCUGAUGGUAGUCUUGAAUAUAAAAUGCACAGUUUUUAACCAGUUCAGAUCUCUCUAGUGCAAACUGAGCUGUAUUUCUAGGGUAUAUUCUGUUCCUGACAAGUUAAAGACAAUAUUUUUGAGGAAAGACUAACCCUUCAAUUUAAGUAUUAUAAUUUCAAAC